rnacentral:lncRNA from 1 species
AAUGUGUUAGGCUGAUCAUUUUGAUCAGUUUUACCAUUUUAAAAGAAGUGAGAGUGAGGGUUUUGAGAGAAGAAGAAGAGAAGAAGAAGAGAAGAAGAGAAGAAGAGGAGAUCAAGCAAGGAGAUCAUCGUGGAUUUUCGUCGGGGGUGAUCCCUAUCAAGGUAUGUUAGCUUUUAGUGUUGGGUGAUCCUUUCCCCCACACACCUAACCCCUUUUAUUUAUUAAGAAAGGAUUGGUUAUGUUGUUAAAGUUGUUAGUUGUUGUGGUUGAAGAUGUUGGAGUUGCUAAAGUUGUUAGUUGUUGUUGUUGUUGGAAUUAUUGUUGGUUGUGGGACAUGAUUGGGUUGUGUUUUUGAGUUGUAUUCUAUUGAAUGUUGAGGGAUUUUAGGUUCCUAAGUGAUUGGGGCUGGAACCUUUGAAGUUAAAAGGGUUUUAGAGUUAGACGUGAAGGAGAAAGUCGGGCAGUUUGCGAGGAGCACGUCCGCGUCGCGGACUUGUUCCCUCUGUGAACAAAAAUCUUCUCCGCGUCGCGGACAGGACGCGGACUCCACUGUUUUCAGAAAUUAUGUUCGAAGAUUUUCUUAAGUUUGGCUGUCCCAAAUCAUUCCUAAAUCAUUCAUAAAUCAUUCCUAAACAUCAUGAGGUCCUUCCAAACACCAAUCAAGUCCUUGAAUCCAUAAUCCAAUUCAAGUGAAGUUAGUUUCCAAUUCAAGUGAAGUUAGUUUCCGAUUCAAGCGAAGUCAAGCUUAGAAGUGAAGUUAGUUUCCGAUUCAAGCGAAGUCAAGCUUAGAAGUGAAGUUAGUUUCCGAUUCAAGCGAAGUCAAGCUUAGAAGUGAAGUUAGUUUCCGAUUCAAGCGAAGUCAAGCUUAGAAGUGAAGUUAGUUUCCGAUUCAAGCGAAGUCAAGCUUAGAAGUGAAGUUAGUUUCCGAUUCAAGUGAAGUCAAGCUUAGAAGUUAAGCAAGUCAAGGCAAGUCGUUAAAGCUUUUCAAAGAGUCGUUAUUGAACGUCUUAACGUCGUUUCAAGUCUCAAGUCGAGUUAAGAGUAUCAAGUCUUAAGUUAAGUUAAGAGUUUCAAGUCAAGUCAAAAGUAAAGGGUUCAAGUAAAGUAAUGAGUAAUGAGUCGAGUCCAUUUCUCCAAAGUUAUUAGGGAACUAUGUACUUCCCAAAGAAGUUUCUAAAUGUUUUUACAUUUAAGUAAGAAAGGAAAUCAUGUCUUCCAAAAGAGCCGUUGGGCUAAGCUUUGAGUAAUUAUCUCAAACUAAAGAAAGAAGUUAUUUUAAAAGCAUGAGCCAAAGUAUUUUUGGGAGUAGUAUUGAGCACCGAAUUGGGGACACGAGUUCAUAUUAACUCAACUCUCCAUAAGAACCAUGCGCCAACAUGGGACUUGACGUAUCAUUCUUUUUAGAUGAUCACGUAAGAUUAGGCUAGUGGAUCCACUAAGCAAAAGUAAGGUCCUAUAUCACGGCAAGGUAUAGGAUGGUCCUCGGGCAACGUGAGGUAAAACGUUGUAUCAUCACUAAGGCUCGUAGUGGUGGUUGUCGGUUAAAGAACCUCCCACAAAAGCUAUGUUACUUCUAUAUAAGUAAAGUGAGUUUGUUAUCGUUUUAUCCUUAACGAACUAAGUUGUUCACAUUGUUUUUACAAGCUUUAUAUGUAUUGCAUGUGUCUUAUUGCUUUACAUUGAGUUCGGUUAUUCAUGAGUCGUUCAAAGUCAAGGUAAGUGUUCUCUUGUGCUCCCUUAAAUCUUAAGUUGUGGUUUAGUAUUUCCAGCUCGCAUACUCGUACAUUCCAUGUACUGAUGCCAGUUGGCCUGCAUCGUCUUAUGAUGCAGAUACAGGUACCCCGGAUCAGCAUCCUGCACGUCGUUGAUCCAGCUGAGCACUCCAGAGUCAGUGG